GAUGAACGCUGGCGGCGUGCCUAAUACAUGCAAGUCGAGCGAACGGACGAGAAGCUUGCUUCUCUGAUGUUAGCGGCGGACGGGUGAGUAACACGUGGAUAACCUACCUAUAAGACUGGGAUAACUUCGGGAAACCGUAGCUAAUACCGGAUAAUAUUUUGAACCGCAUGGUUCAAAAGUGAAAGACGGUCUUGCUGUCACUUAUAGAUGGAUCCGCGCUGCAUUAGCUAGUUGGUAAGGUAACGGCUUACCAAGGCAACGAUGCAUAGCCGACCUGAGAGGGUGAUCGGCCACACUGGAACUGAGACACGGUCCAGACUCCUACGGGACGCAGCAGUAGGGAAUCUUCCGCAAUGGGCGAAAGCCUGACGGAGCAACGCCGCGUGAGUGAUGAAGGUCUUCGGAUCGUAAAACUCUGUUAUUAGGGAAGAACAUAUGUGUAAGUAACUGUGCACAUCUUGACGGUACCUAAUCAGAAAGCCACGGCUAACUACGUG
rnacentral:rRNA from 1 species